rnacentral:pre_miRNA from 1 species
UUAACUCAAAUUUGUAUGGAGUUGGAACAGCGCCCUUAGCGGCAAACGUAGGAAAACAUUCCAACUUCAUACAAAUUUGAGUUA